rnacentral:rRNA from 1 species
GGCUCAGACGAACGUUAGCGGCGCGCCUAACACAUGCAAGUCGCACGAGAAAGGGCUUCGGCCCCGGUAAAGUGGCGCACGGGUGAGUAACACGUAGGCAAUCUGCCCUAAAGUGGUGGAUAACCCUCCGAAAGGAGGGCUAAUACAGCAUGAGACCACGGCAUCCACGGAUGCUGCGGCCAAAGUAGGCCUCUCCACGGAAGCUUACGCUAUAGGAUGAGCCUGCGGCCCAUCAGCUUGUUGGCGAGGUAAUGGCUCACCAAGGCUAAGACGGGUAGCUGGUCUGAGAGGAUGAACAGCCACACUGGAACUGAGACACGGUCCAGACUCCUACGGGAGGCAGCAGUGGGGAAUCUUGCACAAUGGGCGAAAGCCUGAUGCAGCGACGCCGCGUGAGCGAUGAAGGCCUUCGGGUUGUAAAGCUCUGUGGGGAGGGACGAAUAAGGGUUGGCUAAUAUCCAACUUGAUGACGGUACCUCCUUAGCAAGCACCGGCUAACUCUGUGCCAGCAGCCGCGGUAAGACAGAGGGUGCAAACGUUGUUCGGAAUCACUGGGCGUAAAGCGCGUGUAGGCGGCUACGUAAGUCGGACGUGAAAGCCCACGGCUCAACUGUGGAAGUGCGCUCGAAACUGUGUAGCUUGAGUCUUGGAGAGGAAGGCGGAAUACUUGGUGUAGAGGUGAAAUUCGUAGAUAUCAGGUAGAACACCAGUGGCGAAGGCGGCCUUCUGGACAAUGACUGACGCUGAGACGCGAAAGCGUGGGGAGCAAACAGGAUUAGAUACCCUGGUAGUCCACGCCGUAAACGAUGAGUGCUAGGUGUCACGAGCUUUGACCCUCGUGGUGCCGAAGCUAACGCGUUAAGCACUCCGCCUGGGGAGUACGGCCGCAAG